rnacentral:rRNA from 1 species
GACGUAGGUGGCGAACGUUAUCCGGAAUUAUUGGGCGUAAAGGGUGCGUAGAUGGCUUGAUAAGUUAGCAGUGGGAAAUCGAGGCUCAACCUCGUGGAAGCUGGUAAUACUGGUCAGGCUCGAGUGCAGGAGAGGUUAACGGAACUCCAUGUGGAGCGGUAAAAUGUGUAGAUAUAUGGAAGAACACCAAUAACGGCGAAGGCAGUUAAACUAUUCUGUUACUGACAUUGAGGCACGAAAGCGUGGGGAGCAAAACGG